rnacentral:tRNA from 1 species
UCCCUGGUGGUCAAGUGGCUAAGACUCUGUGCUCCCAAUCGAGGGGGCCCGGGUUCAAUUCCUGUUCAGGGAA